rnacentral:rRNA from 1 species
UACGUAGGGGGCAAGCGUUGUCCGGAAUCAUUGGGCGUAAAGCGCGCGUAGGCGGUCUGUCGCGUCCGUUGUGAAAACUCGAGGCUCAACCUCGGGCUUGCAGUGGAUACGGGCAGACUAGAGUGCGGUAGGGGAGACUGGAAUUCCUGGUGUAGCGGUGGAAUGCGCAGAUAUCAGGAGGAACACCGAUGGCGAAGGCAGGUCUCUGGGCCGCAACUGACGCUGAGGAGCGAAAGCAUGGGGAGCGAACAGG